rnacentral:lncRNA from 1 species
UCCUGAUUCAGGACUCCUACAAACGCAAGCAUUUAGCUGUAUUGGAACUUCUUGGGAAAUGGAAGCAGGACAGCAGCCACGGGAAAAUGUGCUGGUCCCUGUCAACAUUUGGCAGCUUUCUAGGAGUGAGAUUUCUUAUGACAUAAUUUAACCUAAGACCCAAGAGAUCUAGUGUAUCAGAUCUGUAGAUUCUACUGUUUUUAUUGCAAUAAAAAUCUUGUUUAGGAGGGGAAAAAAAGUCCAAAUCUCAAGUAGCCUGCAUCAGGGCAAGGGACUGGCGCCAGAGUGAACCGAAAUGAAUGGCUAUCGACAGGGAACAAAUUUCCAAAGAGAUCUUUAACAAGAAAUGGUCAGUUUAUUAUAAGAAAGAACACUAUCCACAACCAGAGAAAGAACUGUGGGAGCAGAAACACAGAAGAAAAACAACUGCUUGAUCACAUGGUUCAAUGGGGAUAUGACUGGAUCCUGGUGUAAAUAUCAAUAAUACGGAAAUAGAUCUUGAUCAAUGACACAUGUAAUACCCAGUGGUUUUUGGCUACAAGAAGGGGGAAGGAGAAGGUGAGGGGAAAGAAUAUGAAUCAUGUAACCAUGGGAAAAGAUUCUAAAGUAAUUAAUUAAAGAAAAAAAGAAAAAAUAAUUUUAAAAGAAUCUUAUACUAUGUUAAAAAAAAUGGUCAGUUUAUACACGUCAGCUGCCCUCACAGCCUUCUUCAUGCAUUGAUGGGCUAUGUGUGCCUAUAACAGGCUGUGUCUUAGUUUCAUGUCUGCCUUUUCUUAACCCCCUCUUCGACACAGGAGAGCAGAAGAGGCCCAGGUCUGCAAAGGGGGAUCCGGGAACCUAAAGCUGUUUGUUAGCUAUUAGGUAAAUAGCUUUGAAGUGGCUUAUGGCCAGCCCUUCAGAGAUGAAAAAGGUGGUCUAGAGAAUGUUUGUCAUGGGCUAAAGCGAGGCCUCCCACAGAGACUCCAAGCUGAGCGACUCAAAAAUAAGUAGAAAGCAAAGGCAAUAUUUGAGCUGGAGAACCUCG